UCACCCCUCCCUUCUCCCGCCGGAACUACGCAGCCAGCCCCGGCGACGCGACGUCCGGGGCGGCCGCGGGGCCUGUGGAGCGGCGCGGCCGAGGGGGCGCGCGGGGCGGCGGGGGGCGCGCGGCGCCAACGGUUGCUAACGGUCGCUAACGGUCACUGUGGGCAGGCGGGAGCGCUCUGUGGCGGGGGGCGCGCGGGCGGGCUGCGGCCCCGCGCUCUCCUUCGCGGAGCGGGGGGCGGACGGGGGCCGCUUUCCCCUUGGCCCCCGGAGGCGACGGCCCGGCAUGGAGCCGCUGCUAGAGGCGGGCGAACGGGGCCGGGUUCGCGGGCGGCCGCCUCUCCCUCAGCGCCUCGCGGCUGGCCUGGCCCGGGCCCGCGCGCAGGUAGGGCGGUCCCGGGCGGGGAAGGGCUGCAGGUGGCGGCAGGGCCUGGACGAGGAGCCCGGGCUUUUACUAGGUGGCUGGAUCUAGUUGGGGAAAAACAGAGCCGUUACUUUCAGCUCUUCUGGUCACAGGCUGGUGCCUUCUCGUUUCUGAGCCUUGAGGAAGUGUUUGAAUCGUGUUUUCGAGCGCUUCAUCUGUGGCAAGGGGGACAAGAAAUUUAAAAAAAAUUCUCGUGCAGUCAUCUGAUUCCAGAGGAGGGAACUGUAAGGAAAACACCAAAUCUUGCAGCAGGUGUUUGGUUGUACCAAUCUGGUCUGGCAGCGCACAGAAUGUGUGUGUCUGUGCAUGUGGUACUUCAAAGCUGGGAGAAGACGACUGUAUUCUUACUCACUGCAGUCAGAAGAUGAAGGAUUUAUUUUUCAGUCUUGUGCAAUCUGCAGAGUGAAAUAUUUUGUCAGUUGUCCUGUACCCUUUCAUCUAAAGGAAUGUGUGAUGCCAGAAACUCAGCACAGAGUUUGAGCAUCUGUCCUCAAUUCCUCGAUUUCUGUGUCUGUGAAAUGCCCAUUACUAUGCAAGGAGCUAUAGUCCUGUCCCAGUAGGUAAACAUUCACCAUUCUAUUGCAGCCAUUUAAUAAAGCAACUUCAGAUUAAGUUGUAGCCUAGAUACCUAAUAUUAGAGACAACCGAUUUCUUCCUGCAUUUCAAGAAAAGACAUUCCAAACAUAUGGACACAGUUAUCCCAUGUAUAAUGCUAGAGCAACCUUUGUUUCCAAAGCCAGGAAUUUUUCUUAGGUCAGCCAACUUCUCUUCGUUGGAUUAGUCAUUCUCAGCUUCCUUGGAACUCGCUAUUUCUGAGGCUUGGUGCUGGUUUUGCAUACCUGGUAUCUGUAGUAUGAGCACUGACCUGAACUGAGGCACUGAGAGUGGGUUUGUAAAAUCUGUCAUUUUUCUUGAGUGAAUUUGGUCAUAAAUGCCCACGGCACAGUAUGGAUUGAAGAGAGCAGUGGCUCAGGAAUGGUAGAUAUGUCAAUGUCACUGAAGACAGAAGUGUUUCAUGGUUUAGCAGCAGCCCUUGCACCACUUAGCCAUUGCUGCUAGAGAAAGCUCUUCCUAAUCAUUAUACCACGCGGUCUUUGGAAGCGGCUCCAUUUCACUGUUCAGCUCCAGAAUGCCAUGCUAUUAGAGACCUGUUGUAUUAGGCUACUUAGAUGCUCUCUUGAGAAGGGCGGGUUGUUCAGAGAUGUGAGAUGAAGGGCCCAAAAUAUGAGAGGGUGAAUUGCCCACAGUAAAGGCAAGCUGUGGAAAGUGUUAACAAGAGACUUAAUCUAGGUAAGCAGUGAAACAUUAUUCUCCGGUCAGCUGCUGCAUGUAGUAUAGGGGCAUUAGCAGGUGGUAUUGGAAAGACUUUUUGCCUUUCUUACCAAAUGGGCAUUCUCUCAACCUGACUGUUUGGAAUUAGGCAAUUAUGGUAUUAGUUCCAUGAACAAAUGAGUUUCCAUCCAUUCAGACAUCUUUCCCUGUUAGUAAAAGCAAAAGGAUGGGUGACUGCGUCUUGCUUCCCUCUUUUUCUGGGUGCUGUGAGGCUGCAUCCUUACCCUGAGUCUCUGUAGAAGAAGUGGUAAGUUCUUCACCUAUCAGACCUGGGGACAUAAAGACAAAUUUAGCAAUUUUGCUGCUUUCCCUUUUCCCUGUUAUUUCAGGAUGAAGAAUUAUGUGGGGAGUCUUGCUGUGUUUCUAUGAUCUGUACUGAGAGAUGAGUCCCUAUAAUGUCACCAGAGAGCAUUCCUGAAACCUAUGCAUGGCCACUUCUUAUACAGGCAUAAAUGUGAUCCUACCUAGAACAGGUCAAAGCUUGUAAUGCUGUAGUUACAUGCAGUUGAAUUAUUGCAGUGCAUACACAUUUUAUAAAGGCAGAUAGCAUACAGUCUUUUAUGCUUAUGUCACCUGAACGAGCAUCAUAAAUAAAAACAGUACGAACUCUUCAACCAGUGGUUCACUGACAAUAUAUUUUGCUAAACGUGUACUGUUGUCAUAGAAUUAAUUGUCUUGGAUGACAAAAAGUCAUAUGUUGCCCUGAACAAAUUGAUGUUCAGCUACAGAUGUCACUGAGUAAUCCAGAAAAUAAGAGUUUAUAAAAAUGGCUAGUGUACCUCAUGUUUCUACACAAAUGUUCAGUCUAUCACAAUUGUGAUGUGUGACCAGUAACAUUCUAAAAUGUGUUGAUCUGGUUCAAUGAAUGAUUUUCUGUAGUAAUUGGAAAUUUUGGGGGGAGAUAAAUUGCAUUAUAAAUAUUCACUGACCAUUACAUACAUAAAUGUAUAUAAAAGAAGUAAGGAACAAUUUGCAGCAAUGAUACACAUUGGGACUCAUUUCAGAACAGUAUGGCUAAUUGGUGCAUAUACUAUUGAAUUCUUCUGGGUUCAUUUUGACAUACAGGUACACCAACAGUACAUGCAAUGACAUCCAUAGGUAAAAAGCUGGCAGUCACACUUAAAAAUAUAUGAUUGGACACUACAGUUGUAUACUUUUUUAUGUUAAAUAAUAAACCACAGAUCUUUGACAGCUUGUUUUGACAAAGCAGUGUAAAGGGCAUAUAGGGCACCUUAGGGAAAUAUGAAGUGUAUUCUAUGAGUAGCAAAUUCUGGAAUUCCUCUUGUUGAGUGGGUGGGAGCGCUCGACCUUGCCCUGUUUCUUUGUAAUGGUUGCAGGGGCUUGUAGCAAUUUUUCUAUAUCCCCUAAUACAGACUGGGGUGUAGCUACCCACAAAAUAAUGUGAAGCAGCCUGGCUUCAAUUUUAAGAAGGAACAUUAGCAGAACAAUGAAACUAACUCUAUUAUUUUUAUUUAAUUUGAAAGCCAUAAAAUGACUUACCAGGGUAAUCAUGUUAUCGUCUUUAAUUUCCUUUUCUGCUAACAAUAUUCAACACUUUGGGAUGACCUAGUUUAAAACAGCCAGUGUCAUAAAUCCCCAUUAAAAUAUCUGUAAAUAAGAUACAUGUUGUUUCUCCACUAUUAGAUUUUGAAUGCAACUUUAUAGUUAUAUUAAGCCAGUUUCAGCAGGCUGCAUCUCCAAUGUACAGCUGGAAAGGUUGUCAUUCACAUUCAACUUACUUUAUUCUAUUGCACUGCACAUAUUUAUUCCAUUAUUCUACAUUAACAUCUCUCUUUUCUUUCUUUCUUUCUUUCUUUUUUAAACAGAAAUACAGUCUUGCGUUAAACAGAGCUCAGACUUGACUGGCAUCCUCUAACAUGUCCUCCUGGUGUUGCACCUUAGGCCUUCCUUGUUCCGAUUUUAUUUUUUUAUUGUAGUUUAAGUGUUCAGGAUUGUCACUGUGGAAAGUUUGGUUCUAUCUUGAUUUUCCUCUCACUCAUAUUACAGUAUCACACAAGACUCUUAUGAGUCACAUGUUACGCCUUGGAUACUUCGAAACACCUGUAAGUUCAGAAGCUAAAUCUAGUGCAAUUGGACAUUGUAAUUUGGUGUAAAUAGACUAUUUUGCUUCUGAUUUUGUGCUGACAUCAGUACCAGUUUUAUUACGAUGAAAUUAUUCUCAAUUUCCAUUACUGUAUGCAAGAUAAAGAUCAAGCUUCAUAUCUUCUGACUCAGUGUAUGAUUUCUGCAGUAAAAGAUGACCUUUAGUUUGUAUUUUUUAAAUACUAUGGUUAAGUACACAAAGUAACAUUCAGGCUCAGCUAAGUCUAUAGCUCCCUGAAGAAGUGAGUGGUUAAGAAUGGAAUUUACAAAAGAUAGCAUUCUUAGUGGAGACUUAAUAUAAGAGACCAAAGUAGGGAGUAGCUGAAGUAGGAAACUAUUAAACGCUUUAGUUCAUAUACUUCUGAGAGGGUUAGACAUCUAAGUCAAGGUUUUGGAGAAGCAUGUAUCUCUGAAUUCACAGAUCUGAGCCACCUUCUGGAGUGAGAUGCUCUAGCCAGAUUACUUUUUUCAUAGAAAGAGAGAAAUAGUCAUAAUGAAGAUGGGUUAAGGAGAAUAUUACUGUAGCCCAAGUCUUAGCUCUAACUAGCCCAAGGAAGGAGAGUCAGAUUCUAGUCCUGUUGAUGCUGAAUGCUUAGUCUGAGCAAAACAGUUUAGUUUUAGUAAGGGAGGCUGACAGGUCUCCACACCAGACUCUAUGACCUCAUGAUUAGGGCACAGCUGAGAUGGGAAAGAUGUAUUUCUCUCAGGCCAGGACAAGAAUUGAACCCAGGUGUGCUACAUUGCACUGUAAUAAGAGAUCUAGCCACUGAAGUAUUAGUUGAAAGGUGAUUCCUAUCCACAGCUUCUUUCUUUGUUUUCAGAAGGUAGCACACUGGUGCUUUGAGUAUGUCUUCAAGAUCAGCUAUCUCAAGGAAUGUAAGUGUGGAAAAUCUUUUUGUGAGUCCUGGGCUUAGACUAAAGAAAAAAGCUGAUUUAUGCAGUUCUAUCAAAACUUGGGUAGUUUUGUGCAUACUAAGAGUUUAGGAAGAGAAUUUUAGACUGAAUGUUUCAGACUGGCUAAGAAACUUUGUAAUCUAGCCAAGGAUUCUUACUGUACUAGGCACUGCACAGGCACAUAAUAAAAAAAUUCUGUUGUCCAAAACCCUUAAAGAUUUAUCAGAGAAGAUGCAAUGAAAUGACCUGACUGUUGUGACUCAGACAGAGGUAAAACCAGGAUGUAGAAGUGCAGUCUGGCUUGUAACCCUGCAUCCUCUGUAUCUUCUCAAAUCAAAGCAAUCUUUUUCUUACAUCUGGCUUUCCUGGUGCCUGUCUCUGUCCUGUGCCAAGAUAAAAGAACAAACAUAUGGUGGGAAGAGGAUACUGAAAUAAGCUGUUACUAAAAAUCUCAUCACAGAGAGGGUGAAUAAUAAAGUUGAAUUAAUGAAUUUCAGUUAAAAAAAUUGCUAGAGGUGCAACAGAAGUGUUUGCAUAGCUUGCCGGUGUUAAAUUCCUAGAAAACUAUGCAGCUUUACUGAUAGAGCAAGGGCAAAACAGAGGGGAGGGCAAAGAUAAUUCUUCUGGAAUUCUUGCUGGUGAUAUUGUCCUGCAGUACUAAAUAAGUCCCAAACUAGAAAAGGAUGGAGGAUCCUAAACUACUUGGCUCAAUGGGCGGUGAAACUUUUAGUAAUGUGGAAGUCAUUUGGGAACUAACUAGAAUUUUGCUCUUUCUGAAAGACCAGGAAGCAGGAUGAGUUUCCAUUUCUGCAGUGACUAAUUUCUUUUGCAUUUGGAAGCAAAGAUGCUUGAAAUUAUUAUUUCCUGUUUUUAACAGCCCCUUCUGAUCAAGGGGUGAGAAUGUGAGGAUAAAAGGUAUUAAUGGAUUUAAGGUUAUAUUAUUUCUAGUGAGAGAUCUGUUUGUGUGUAUCCACCUUGGGUUUGCUGUGCUCCAUGAAAAUGAUUCUUGAUCUUGGCUUUUCUUUCUGUUUUAACUCAGAGAAGUUGAAAUAUUUAAACACAGGUGUGUUAAAUUAGGGGAGAGAGACUUGCAGCUCAGCACUGAAUCUUUUAGGGAGAAUGCAUGAUAUCUCUUUGUCCAGGACAGCUUCUUCCUGAAACACUUCAGAAGCGGUGGUGUAGCUUUCUUGCAGAGUAAGGCCUCCUGUGAGUUCUAAUCUGUGUGAAGUAUGUGGUUCACUUGACCUUGUCUCCUCAUGAAAACAGAAGAUACUCUAGAGGGCUCGACUUGGUGCUAAAACGAGAUAAACUGAGGAUUGUGGGAGUAUAACAAGAGUGUUAGAAAGUAAACUUCAGUUUGUCAGCGUGCAGCAGAAAAUGUCAUCUGAUACGCAAAUACUGAAAAUCCUUGCUCCAAAGCAAGCAGCGUGCUUAAAGAUUGAGAUUAUGGGAGAUGACUGCGAACCCUAAGUACUACAGAAUUACUGAAAUUCCACUGCAAUAGAGCGUCUUAGGCAGAAGAUGCAGUGCAACACAAAACAAAGUCCUUGGUGGAAGGAAGAGAGUGCAGCUGUGUAGAAGAAUGGCACGUGCGUUCACAAGCUGCAGAUGCUCUGUCUGCAGGCAGAAUCAGCAUAUUCAUGAACGACUGGGAAAGGAGGUUGACAUGCAAGUGAUCUGGUUUGCUAGGGCCUUUGUUGUGGACAUGACCUAAUAGGGAGCAUGACCAGAAUGUCUACAGUUUUUCGUCAUGGGACCAAGCUGAUGUAGGAAAUAAGCUAUAUCAGGAGCCAAAGAAGCUGCAGACUGGAAGAUGAAGCAGGUGUGGCACAUCUGAGUGUGGAAUCCUCUUCACCUGAAUAUCUUACUGCUACAGAAUGGUUUUUGCCCAUUUCCUCUCGUCACUGGGUGCUGCUGAGAAGCAUGUGGCUCCAUCUUCUUUACUGUCAGGUAUUACCUUCAGGAGGACCUGACUUGGAAGCCCAGGCAAACCGUUUCCCCUUGAAUACGUAGUGACAUGUCUGCUUAAUCAGUUACAAUUUCUGCUGUAUUCGAUGGGUUAUGAAGGUCUGCCAUCUUCAGUAAUUGGACAUGGUACGUAGUGUGUUGUAUUGAAGACAGCAGGAAGAUUGGCCAAGCAGAUUCUGAAGAGCCCUCUUGCCGACAUAUACAGAAAUGAGUGCACAAUUUUUUAUGGCAGUCUGGCCCUUCGAUCACAGCUUAGGUUUAUGUUACAAUAUGUGAUUCACUACUUUAGCUAUAUGGCAUAGCAGGAUUCAAAUAAUAACAGUAUCAUCAUGAUGAUCUCAUUUAAAAAUCUCCAAAGACAGGACUUUCAGAAUUCGGAUUGAAAAUCACAUUUUUAUCUUGGGUUUUAUAAGUGUUUUUAUUCUGAUGGUGGAUGUUGUAUUUGUGUCAUCAAGGUGGAUGUGAAAAAUUUGGGGAUCUCUUCCUGACUGCCACUGAGUUCGAGAGUGAUUGGGGGUAAACUAUUUCUGCCUUAUGUUUCUCUUAACAGCUUUUGGCAUAUGUUUUCACCAUUUAUAUUAGUUAUUUCUGCAAAGUCUGUGUCAGAUGUGCUGGAAAAUCAAGGAGAAAAAUGACAUCUUCUGGAUCUCAUAUCUGUUUAACUGCCACCAAAUGGCACACUUUAUUAUUACCCACUGCAUUCUCUCCAUUUAUGAGGAGCAGUUCCAUUAUUAUUGCUUUAAUGCAAGCUUUUCUCCAGUGAUAGAAAUGUCACAUUAAUACAGGAGCACUGCCCAUGGACAAGAAUUGUAGAGGAAAACUGGCACAUGGGAAAAAGGGUUUUUUUUGGCUAGAUUUUGAUACGGGUAUUUCUGAAUACCAUAUUCAAACUCUGUUUCGGUCUCACUUUUGGAAGUUUCAGGUUUCUCUGAGGUCAAAGUUCCUUUGAUGUAGCACAGUAAAGGCCUAAAAAGAAAGGACAUAAAAGAAGUGAUUGCAAUUAAAAUUACUACCUUAUAAUAUGAAUUAUAUCGUGGAAACACUUUUAAAAGUCUCUGAAAUGUGAGACCAUUAUACGCAUACGAAUGGGACCUUUAUAGGCUUAAACUGUGUACCUGAAAUGUGUUAGUUACAACCUCUCAACCUUCUGAUGACAGGCUCUGCUUCAAGAAGAAAUGCUUAACUCUGUUAAGCCAUAAAAUGAGCGAAAGAACACCGAAGAAAAGAAAUCGUAUGAUCUUGAUAGGAUAAUUAGAGGUUCUCUAGACUAUAUAGCUCAAGUGAAAGAAGUUGAGGAGUGGGGUGGGGUGUCAGGAUUAUCACUAGACCAGUCAUUCCACUCAGGUGCUUCUUAGUGGAACCUGAAAUUUUUGAGGAAAAGCGCAAGCUCAUUUGUCCUUAUCAGCAAAUAUGUCCAAAGUACUGUCAACUGUCAAACCUGAGAAGUGCUGUACGUACUGUACCCUGACAGUUCAGUCAUAAUGCCAUGAGGUUGUUUACUCUGCUUUUGUAUCUUAAGAGUUAUACAGGUGUCUGCCUUGUGGGAAGAUAAAAAGGGUGGGGGUUAAGAGGGAGGGAAUGUUUAACAAGUUUUUUUAAAAAAGCACAGCAGAGAUCUUCAUUGCAGUAAACAGCAGUUGAUACGCUGAGGUGUAGGUGUAAGCUUAUCCACUGACCAGUGUUGAGAUACCGACAUUUGUAACAAUGGUUGUCUGUGUAACGGUUACAGAACUUGCAACCCAGCUAUCCUUGAAAUAGUUGAAAAUGUAAAUCCAUCUCAGAACAGAUGGGAGCUGGCAGUAUUUUAGACCACGUGCUUUUAGACCACAUUCAGGUUUUACUGAAGGCAGGCUGCAUGCCCAUUUCCCGCCCAAUUUUAUUUUGAUAUAUAGACACAGGAGUAUUUGUUUUUGUCUUGGCUUCAAGAUGUCAGUCUUGUGUUUGUUUAAGAGAAUAACGGAAAUGCUGACUGGAAAGGACCCUAUUGAUCAUCUUGUUCAACCUCUUGCAUGAAGCAGGAGCACUUCACUGAAAACUGCACUGUGUAAUUCAAAACUUCAGGAGGUCAGUGUACUGCUGGAAAUGCUGGGCUCUUUGGCAGUGAUUAGGGAGAGCAAAGGUAGUUAUAGACAUUCAUGAUAAAGUAAGCUAUCCUAACUUUAACUAAUCAGAAUACUCCUGCCUGAGCUGUGAGAUACUUUGGAUGCUUUGGAGUGGCAAGAUUUCAAUAAGAAAAAGAGUCUGAACUAAAACACUCUUGGCAUUUUGAAAUCUUGCUGCAACUCUGGGGCUUGCCUCAUGCCUAUGAAAAGGACAGGAACAUGCCUGAGCUCUGGGGGAAAUUUAGUAGUAUUUUUACAUUUUGCUGUUUGCAGUUGCACUGCACAAUCCCAAAGCAGUGUGACCAGCUGAACUGGGUGGACAGACUGCCCACAUCUAACAAAACUGAUUGUGGGAAUGUAGUUUGUUUCUUUCAACAGCCUGUAGAUGGAGCAGCAUGUAGCUUAUUCCCCAGGGCAUUUUGGCUAAAUCUACUUUAUGCAGAAUAUAUCAGAAUACUUUGGGUGCCUGCUUUAUCUUGUACCAGUGGAUGGGUGCAAAGCCCCAGUGUAGUUUCAGGAAUGCUGGUCAUACUAAUAGACUUUCACCACAGAAUGUGUUUAAGAAAGUUCUUCAUCAAAGGAAACAGAGGAGUGUUAGAGUGUUCUCAUAUUGUAUGUUGAACAUAUUUUUUCUAACUCAAAAAGUAAAUGAGGUUGCUUUGUAAGGAUAUGAUUCACUACUUAACUUUCAGCUGAAAAGAACAAUGGUUUGAGGUGAACAAUCCUACUGUUUUGCGUUUUAGUGUUAAUUUCCCUAACAGUUUGUUUAAGUGCAUUUUUUGCAACAGAUUAUUUUUCAUAAGGUUGUAAAGUUAUAUUGCAAUGUUAACUCUGAUUUUCUGAUGUUUGCUUGAGUUCUUGUUAUGCUCUAUAUAUUUAAUUA